GGUUGAUCCUGCCAGUAGUCAUAUGCUUGUCUCAAGAUUAAGCCAUGCAUGUCUGAGUACAGACCGAUCUAAGGUGAAACCGCGAAUGGCUCAUUAAAUCAGUCAUAAUUUCUUGGAUAGUGAAAAACUCUCCUCGGAUAACUGUGGAAAAUCCAGAGCUAAUACGUGCAACUGAGCUCCGACACCGGCGAAAGCUGAGGGAAGAGCGCAUUUAUUAGAUUCAAAACUGACCGUCGUACUCCUCCGGGAUGCGUCGUUUUUGUCAUAUUGAUGACUCCGGAUAACUUAGCCGAGCGCUACGGUCUUUGUACCGGCGCCGUAUCUUUCAAGUGUCUGCCUUAUCAGCUUUCGAUUGUAGGUUAAACGCCUACAAUGGCUGUAACGGGUAACGGGGAAUCAGGGUUCGAUUCCGGAGAGGGAGCCUGAGAAACGGCUACCACAUCUAAGGAAGGCAGCAGGCACGCAAAUUACCCACUCCCAGCCCGGGGAGGUAGUGACGAAAAAUAACGAUGCGAGACUCUUCCGAGGCCUCGCAAUCGGAAUGAGUCCAAUCUAAAUCCUUGGACGAGGAUCCAUUGGAGGGCAAGUCUGGUGCCAGCAGCCGCGGUAAUUCCAGCUCCAAUAGCGUAUAUUAAAGUUGCUGCGGUUAAAAAGCUCGUAGUUGGAUUUCCUAGAUCCAAAUCGUGGGCGGGUCGCCCAUUGUACGCGCGUCGUUGCGGUCCUCUCGAGAGGCGCUCGCUGGUGCGCGCGGCGUGAUGUUUCGACCAUCGCUUUGUGUGUAUGCGUGUCCCGUUAUAUAUAGUGUGCGGUCCCUCGGAGUAGUUUCCUGCGUGGAGGCAUGCCGAGAGGUGGUCGUAUACCUGUGUGUGACGCGUUCGCCUCUGGCGCAUAUGCGUAAUCGUACUCGCGUGCAGUGUGUCCGGUUUGCGCUUAGCUUGCGGGCGGAUGACGUAGUCUUCGGGUAUUGCCCGUCCGCGUUUGGUACAAUUAAAAUUUUGUCGGCUCGCUCGGAGUGCUCUUUACCGAGUGUUCCAGGGUGGCCGACACGUUCACUUUGAAAAAAUUAGAGUGCUUAAAGCGGGCUUGAAUGUUGCUCGAAUGUUGAUGCAUGGAAUGAAGGAACAGGACCUCGGUUCUGUUCUUUUUGUCGGUUUUAUUGAACCGAGGUAAUGAUUAAAAGGAACGGACGGUGGCAUUAGUAUUGCGACGCUAGAGGUGAAAUUCUUGGACCGUCGCACGACUAACUACUGCGAAAGCAUUUGCCGAGCACGUUUUCAUUAAUCAAGAACGAAAGUUAGAGGAUCGAAGGCGAUCAGAUACCGCCCUAGUUCUAACCCUAAACUAUGCUAACUAGCGAUCCGCCGGAGUCAUUCCCACGACCCGGCGGGAAGCCCCAGGGAAACCAAAGUCUUUGAGUUCCGGGGGAAGUAUGGUUGCAAAGCUGAAACUUAAAGGAAUUGACGGAAGGGCACCACCAGGAGUGGAGCCUGCGGCUUAAUUUGACUCAACACGGGAAACCUCACCAGGCCCGGACAUUAGAAGGAUUGACAGAUUGAGAGCUCUUUCUCGAUUCAAUGGGUGGUGGUGCAUGGCCGUUCUUAGUUGGUGGAGUGAUCUGUCUGGUUGAUUCCGAUAACGAACGAGACUCUACCCUACUAACUAGUCGGCGGAUCGUAACCCUGUGCUGGGGGGAUCCAGAGUUCAUUUUGCGGAUGAUGUUGCGGCGAUGAGUGUGUGUAUGUGCGGAAACUAGCGCGCGCGGGGUGCGUGCGGCAUUGUAAAAGGUGUCGUAUGUACGAUCGUUGCGUGGGUUGUGACCGUCGUAUAUAUAUCUGGUCGUUUGCGCGUCGUACUUGCGGGUGUGACCGAGGUGACUCUUACUGGGGGCGUCCGUCGCAAUGUAUCUUCUUAGAGGGAUCAGCGGCGUCUAGCCGCACGAGAUAGAGCAAUAACAGGUCUGUGAUGCCCUUAGAUGUUCUGGGCCGCACGCGCGCUACAAUGUGCGGAUCAGCGUGCCCUCCCUCUCCGAAAGGAGUGGGUAACCCGUUGAAACCCGCACCCAAUUGGGAUUGGGGAUUGCAAAUGUUUCCCAUAAACGAGGAAUUCCCAGUAAUCGUGAAUCAUUAAUUCGCGCUGAUUACGUCCCUGCCCUUUGUACACACCGCCCGUCGCUACUACCGAUUGAAUGAUUCAGUGAGGUCAUCGGAUUGGCUCCUGCGGUUGCAAUAUACCUUAGGUUGACGAAAAGACGUCCGAACUCGAUCAUUUAGAGGAAGUAAAAGUCGUAACAAGGUUUCCGUAGGUGAACCUGCGGAAAGGAUCA
rnacentral:rRNA from 1 species